UAAAGAAGGUGAUUAGGGUAACUGC
rnacentral:piRNA from 1 species